rnacentral:tRNA from 4 species
GCGGAGAUGGCGGAAUUGGCAGACGCGCAGGAUUAAGGAUCCUGUGACCUACUUUGGUCGUGAGGGUUCAAGUCCCUUUCUCCGCACUA